UACGAAGGGGGCUAGCGUUGUUCGGAAUUACUGGGCGUAAAGGGCUCGUAGGUGGCCAACUAAGUCAGACGUGAAAUCCCUCGGCUUAACCGGGGAACUGCGUCUGAUACUGGAUGGCUUGAGUUUGGGAGAGGGACGCGGAAUUCCAGGUGUAGCGGUGAAAUGCGUAGAUAUCAGGAAGAACACCAAUGGCGAAAGCAGCUCUCUGGGACGGUACUGACGCUGAGACGCGAAAGCGUGGGGAGCGAACAGG
rnacentral:rRNA from 1 species